CUGCCGUGAUGAUAGAUAUAACAUUGACUUGGUAUUUCUAGUGUUGAAUUGACCAAGACAUGAUCAAGUUAAUCUUCUCUCUGAGCAG